rnacentral:rRNA from 1 species
UCUCUUAAAUUAAAAAUACAUAUAAAAGACAAUCCAUGUCGACUUUGUGCGCAUUAUUCGCUAUUAUGUGUUCUUUUAAUUAAAAUGAUUCUUUUUAAAUCUCCAACAUUGCUUCCGCAUUUUGGGGAUUUGUUUCUUUUUGAAAAUUUUAGAGUGCAAAGCAAACACAUAUAUCAUUUUUGCGCUUGAGUACUCCACCGUGGGAUAACACAAUUGAGCACAUCUCAAUUUUUGUGCUUUUUUCUUAUAUUGUGUUUUAUACAAUAUUAAUAGGAGAAGCUUGGGGGCAUUUGUGUUCUCAUGUGUCAGAUGAAAUUCUCUUAUUUUCUGGGGACACACACCUGCGAAAGCAUUUGCCUCUAAUACUUCCCCUUUUCUCAAGAAAGAAAGUUUUAGGGAGUGAGAACAAUAUCAUACCCCCUCAAUCUCUACCCUAAACUAUGCCCACACUGCUUUGUAUGAAAAAUUUUUUAAAAUGGGUUUUCCUUUCCCUCCUCGGGGAGGACUCACA